rnacentral:rRNA from 1 species
CGGGUGAGUAACGCGUGGGAAUCUACCUAGUUCUACGGAACAACAGUUGGAAACGACUGCUAAUACCGUAUACGCCCCACGGGGGAAAGAUUUAUCGGAAUUAGAUGAGCCCGCGUAAGAUUAGCUAGUUGGUGGGGUAAUGGCCCACCAAGGCGACGAUCUUUAGCUGGUCUGAGAGGAUGAUCAGCCACACUGGGACUGAGACACGGCCCAGACUCCUACGGGAGGCAGCAGUGGGGAAUAUUGGACAAUGGGCGCAAGCCUGAUCCAGCCAUGCCGCGUGAGUGAUGAAGGCCUUAGGGUUGUAAAGCUCUUUCACCGAUGAAGAUAAUGACGGUAGUCGGAGAAGAAGCCCCGGCUAACUUCGUGCCAGCAGCCGCGGUAAUACGAAGGGGGCUAGCGUUGUUCGGAUUUACUGGGCGUAAAGCGCACGUAGGCGGUUUGUUAAGUCAGAGGUGAAAUCCCGGAGCUCAACUCCGGAACUGCCUUUGAUACUGGCAAGCUAGAGUCCGGAAGAGGUAAGUGGAACUCCUAGUGUAGAGGUGGAAUUCGUAGAUAUUAGGAAGAACACCAGUGGCGAAGGCGGCUUACUGGUCCGGAACUGACGCUGAGGUGCGAAAGCGUGGGGA